rnacentral:rRNA from 1 species
AUUGAACGCUGGCGGAAUGCCUUACACAUGCAAGUCGAACGGCAGCACGGACUUCGGUCUGGUGGCGAGUGGCGAACGGGUGAGUAAUGUAUCGGAACGUGCCCAGUCGUGGGGGAUAACGUAGUGAAAAUUACGCUAAUACCGCAUACGAUCUAUGGAUGAAAGCGGGGGAUCGCAAGACCUCGAGCGAUUGGAGCGGCCGAUAUCAGAUUAGGUAGUUGGGGGGGUAAAGGCCCACCAAGCCAACGAUCUGUAGCUGGUCUGAGAGGACGACCAGCCACACUGGAACUGAGACACGGUCCAGACUCCUACGGGAGGCAGCAGUGGGGAAUUUUGGACAAUGGGCGAAAGCCUGAUCCAGCCAUUCCGCGUGCAGGAUGAAGGCCCUCGGGUUGUAAACUGCUUUUGUACAGAACGAAAAGGUUUCUACUAAUACUAGGAGCUCAUGACGGUACUGUAAGAAUAAGCACCGGCUAACUACGUGCCAGCAGCCGCGGUAA